ACUGAAAACUGCCACUGUCGACAUAACCGGUAGGUUUCUACUUGUUGUUGUUGUGGUAUGCCAGUAGAAUGUGUGGGCAAGUGGUUCCGAACUGACUCCCAAUAAAAUAGUGCAUAAAGUGUUUUCCAACUAUACGAGAUAAACAAUUAACUAGUUAGGUUAUGAUAAAAUUUUAUCUAAAUUAAGUGCAGAUAUUUUAUUUUAAAUCUCAGAAAAAAUUUUGUGAUGUGAAAAAGUUGGAAAAUUGCUGAUUUUUGCAACGCAUCGUAAAAUCCUGCCAUAAUCUCGAAAUGUAUUUUAUGAAGGUUCAGAAGAGUUGACGUUACUGAGAUUAACCGAUAGUAUCUUCCUGUCGAAAGAAGAGUUUGAUCUCAAGUUGGAACGUAUCAGUAACCCAUGAUUAAUACUUCAAUCUUCUCGACGGGAUCGUUGUACGUUACAAAUGUCUUACGUACGUCCAUCUGACAUGAUUCGUAUCAAGAUUAUCGAGCGAAAGCAUUUGGCCUGCUUUUAUCUACUUACAGUUAAGUUUGACGAUGAGUGUAAUAUUAAUUAUUUCUUAAGGACGAAAUUUUUUACACAACGUGGGGUGUGUUUGCGUCCGUAACCCUUAGCUUUUAACGUGAAUAUCACUUUUCUUAUCUGCCUGAAAUAGAAAAGCGUUUGGUCUGUAACGAACGAACUUUUUUUUACUUAGCCUGUUAUGCAUAAAUUUAUUGCAUCUUAGUUUUCAUAUCCCCGCUUUAUAGACACAUAAAUUAAAGAGGCUUUUAUUUAUCACAACGUCAUGACUGUAAUACUCUCCCGUAAGGAUAAUUACUGUAUUAAUAGUCAGUGGUAUUAAGUGGUAUAAUUAAAGUCAACAUUUUCUUUGUUUAUAAUAAGAACUGUUGAAGAAAACUAAUGGAUUUUCCUGUAAUUAGUAAAUGCUAUAAUAAAAAUAGUGAAGAUGUUUUAUAUACCAGUGAAAGUACUUGCGGUCUUUCAUUACUCAAUUCAUUUAAUGACUUCUGUGCAGUAUAUAAAAAAGAAGUGGAAGUAGUCGCAUCAAUCAAUCGUACUUUUUUCGUAAUUAUUGCAAAUAUAGGUAACCAAACACCACUCCUAGUUAGUAAAUCAUCGCCAGACAUCUUGGUAGAAUAUCCCAUUUCAUAGCGCACUUUAAAAUCUAUUAACUAGUGUCCAAGUAUUCCCGUUGCCGAAGAAUGAUUGUUUAGUGGGUAAUUAGCUAUUUUAUAAAGUGCAAGUCAAGUGUAGACGACGAUACUUCUAAUUUAGUCAAAUCCCCUUUUUUACGGCAAUGCCCUAUAGUUAUGCUAUAUUAAGGAUAAAGUGGUAUAAUAACCCUCAUUACAAGAAUUACUCGAUCACGUUUUAUUGUUUUAAUGCGGCACAGCGUUGCCUAUUACAACCAUAAUUUUAAGGCAAAUAUUCCAUGACAAACAUAAACUAAUUGAGUACUUAUUAUAGAGAUAUGUGAUUAAAUUUAUGUAUUUUAAUGCAAUUUACUUAUAUCUUAACAAUCAUCCGCACUAGACAUUUCGAUUAUUAAACCGUAGGGUGUUGUUAGUAGUUGUCCAAGCGUAUAUUGGCAGUAGUAUUAUGUGGUUUUAAACACGGAUUAAAGCGGUCGUUCCGGUUCAUAUUUUUAUUAUUUACUACGUGCCAGGGAUGGGUGCAUUAUCCGCAUCACCGUACCAUCAUUUUGCAUCUAGUAUUAGUAUGCAACAAUGUUAUUCCCACACCUUCUCACUUAUUCUUCGUAUCGGGCGACUAGUAAAAUGACAGAAACUAUUAUUCAAGACGUUCUCAUUCUUAUUUCCAUUGCGUUUGUUUAAUAAUUCGCAUUAUUUAAUAUAUUACACGGUUGUCUUUUCAUUUCAUACCUUGAUUCUCAUUUAUGAUUCAAAGCGCUUUACACAUCUGCAUAGUUGCACUAGAAAUCGCGAAAUAUAUGAAAUUUAGCCAAGCUGGAGCCGUAGCUACCCCGUGGCCCGUAGCGAAAGUGGAAUUUGCUUCAAUGGAAA